GCGUCUGCUGUGAAAGACCGGGGCUUAACCCCGGUAUUGCAGUGGGUACGGGCAGACUAGAGUGCAGUAGGGGAGACUGGAAUUCCUGGUGUAGCGGUGAAAUGCGCAGAUAUCAGGAGGAACACCGAUGGCGAAGGCAGGUCUCUGGGCUGUAACUGACGCUGAGAAGCGAAAGCAUGGGGAGCGAACAGGAUUAGAUACCCUGGUAGUCCAUGCCGUAAACGUUGGGCACUAGGUGUGGGGGACAUUCCACGUUUUCCGCGCCGUAGCUAACGCAUUAAGUGCCCCGCCUGGGGAGUACGGCCGCAAGGCUAAAACUCAAAGGAAUUGACGGGGGCCCGCACAAGCGGCGGAGCAUGCGGAUUAAUUCGAUGCAACGCGAAGAACCUUACCAAGGCUUGACAUAUACUGGACCGCCUCAGAGAUGGGGUUUCCCUUCGGGGCUGGUAUACAGGUGGUGCAUGGUUGUCGUCAGCUCGUGUCGUGAGAUGUUGGGUUAAGUCCCGCAACGAGCGCAACCCUCGUUCUAUGUUGCCAGCACGUUAUGGUGGGGACUCAUAGGAGACUGCCGGGGUCAACUCGGAGGAAGGUGGGGAUGACGUCAAAUCAUCAUGCCCCUUAUGUCUUGGGCUUCACGCAUGCUACAAUGGCCGGUACAAAGGGUUGCGAUACUGUGAGGUUGAGCUAAUCCCAAAAAGCCGGUCUCAGUUCGGAUUGGGGUCUGCAACUCGACCCCAUGAAGUCGGAGUCGCUAGUAAUCGCAGAUCAGCAACGCUGCGGUGAAUACGUUCCCGGGCCUUGUACACACCGCCCGUCAAGUCACGAAAGUUGGUAACACCC
rnacentral:rRNA from 1 species